rnacentral:lncRNA from 10 species
GAAAUGCUUUGUUUCAAGUGGAAUCCUACAUAACACUCCUGAUAAUGAAAUAGGAUGAGAACUGAGCCUGCACAGAGGAGGCUGGGGGCCUGCCACUGGCCCCUCCAGACUUUUCCUCUCCUGACCCUCCUCUCUGAAGCCAUCCAGGAACCCCAUACCCCACAGAAGACAGUGUGAGACCCACCAACCAAGAGGCUGAGAUUUCAGCAGGACUGGUCUGUGUCUGAGGGCCGGUGAACACUGGCUCCUUGGACAGAAGUGUGUGGAGUGAGCAUACCCUGCUGGCUUGAGAUUGGUGUGGGGGUACAGCCAGCACUGCGUUUGUAGGUUUCCCACAGUGGGAAGCAGUGAGAACAUGAGAAGGUGCACGGAAUAGCAAGACACACCGUUUAGUGUGUGCUAAUCACAGUUGCUCUGAACCAGUGUCCUAAUUUGGCCCCACUACUUGAGCUUCCCUAGAUGGAUCCCAGCACACCUGGCUGGACUGUGUCCCUGGCUGUCAGUACACAUCCUUUGCUUUCUCCCACCUCUAAGCCCUUGCCUUGACCAUUCUUUCCACCUGGAUUAACUUUUUUUUUUUCCUUAAUGCUGCUCCCACUCAUCUCCAUCGUUCCCAGUAGAUACUUCAACCAAGACCCAGCCUGCCUGCCUGGCCCUGCCCUGAGCUCCUCUGGAAGGAAGUGUCGAUGCAGAUCACCUGAGACACACAGUGGUGUGUGGGCACACAGGUGGAAGGAGCCCAGAGGCUGAAGGCCCAGGUCUUCCCAUGGGAACCAGCUCUUGUCGACUCCAAGCCCAUGCUGACCCCAGUUGUGUCUGAGAUCUCACAAGACUUGUGUUCUCCCUGUAUUGCUAAGGACUUUGGUUGGCUAGGAGGUUGGAGGGUCUGAUUAUCUCUAGGACAUGGUGAGCUCCUCAAGAUGGUCCGUACCUUAUGCUUUGGGGGAAAUGCAGGUACUCACUUUCAAGUCUUUCUUGCCCACUUCAUCCUUUGCUGAGCUCUAGAUACUGGGCUCCAGGGUCUUUUUCUGACCUCAGAGGCCCUCAUGAAGCCUGGUAACUCAGAUGGCCAAACAGAUGUGCAAGCCCAUGGACUCAGAGACUCAUCGGGGACCUCCAGUAUGCAUCCUCACCUACCAUUGUUCCAGGGAAACUUGCUGAUCCAGCCCAUCAGACUUUUUUUUUUUUUUUUUUUUAAUGGCCACAACUCCUGCUCCAGCAGGGGACAGGGGCCCAGACAUCUUUAGGGCUCUGGCCUCAGGGAGCUCACAGGCUUCCAGAGAGACAGAGCUGAACCAAGCUGAGGGGUGGCAACAUGCCUGAGCAACAGGUGCAGGAGUCAGCCAUGAGGUAUCAGCCUGAGCCUGCACGCCUGCACCUGCCAGAGGGUGGUAACCUGGCAACAAGCACACCUGAUGGGUUAGUUUCCUAGGGCUAUUGAUUGCAAACUGCAAACUGGGUGGCUUGAAGCAACAGAAAUAUAUUGUCUCUCAGUUCUGGAAGCCAGAAGUAUGAACUCAAGGUGGUGGUGUGGCCACGCCCCCUCUGAAGGCUCUUGGGAAGAAUCCUUUCUCUCUUCCAGCUCCUAGUAGCUCCUGCCAUUCCUUGGCUUGUGGCAGCAUCAUUCCCAUCUCUGUCUCCAUCUUUCUUGGCCAUCUUCCCUGUGUCUCUGUAUGUCUUCUCCUUCUCUGUCUCUUAUAAAGACAUCAUUUCUAGAUUCACCCUAAUCAAGCAUGAUCUCAUCUUGAGAUUCUUACCUUAAUUAAAACUUUGAAGGCCAUUAUUCCAAAUAAAGUUGCAUUCCGAGAUUCUGGUUGACAUAGGUUUUUGGGGGACAUCCUUCAGCCCACUGCACCUGGAAAAGUGCACCUUUCCCUGCAGCAAGCGCUCAGGUGUGUGCUGGAGUUGUUAUGGUUCUCAUUAUUUGCACCUGGAGGGCAGGAAGUAAGCAGCCAGAUAUUUGAGAGGGGCCGAGGGUAUAAGAACACCUUUCCACCUGUAAGCACAGAAAGAAGUUUCUUGAAGUACCCUCAUCCUAAUCAGAGGCCACAUGGGGGAGACCUGAAGGGAACAGCCGCUUGCCUCUCCAGCUGGGGGUACUAAUGAGUGUCCUGUAUGUCAAUGAACACAUGUGUUGGGCUGGGGCCUGUAAAGAAACUUGCAUUCUUUGCCUCUGCCAGGUACUCUUCUGUUGAUUGCUGUCACUUGUAUAAGUACCAGAAAACUUCUGGGCCAAGUUUUCCCAACUUCUAAAUAUAGAGGAUCUAAAUAGAUGCUUUGUGGAAGAAAUGGUUUCAUUAGAAGGUCAAAUACAUUCAUAUGCUGAGCUAGCCACCAGGAGCCUUUAUUUCUGCAAGAUUUAUCAAAGCCUUUAACACAAUGAGGGGCAUCACGAAUCUCCAAGAUGCAGAUGCAGUAUGCUGCCUUUCUCAAACUUCAUUGGCCAUGGAACCCUUAUUUUACAGUAUGACAGUAAGAAGAGCUAACAUAUAUUGAGCGUUUACUAUGACCCAGGCACUGGCUGAGGCCUUGAUACGUAUUAAAUCUUUUAAUUCUCAAGACAACUCUCUGAAGUUAGAGGCAAUUGUUAUUGCCAUUUGAUAGAUAAGGCAACUGAGUUUAACUCACCUAAAUUUAUAUAUACUGAGGUAGACUGAAGAACAGCCCCGUCCCCUAAAAUCCAUAUCCUAAUCCCUGAGCCUGUGAUUAUGUUACCUCACAUGGCAAAGGGACUUUUCAGAUGUGAUUAGGUUAAGGAUCUUAAAAUGGGGAGAGCCAGCCCAACAUCAUCAGAAGUUCCUGUUAAAAAAGAGGCAGGAGAGAGUUAGAGGGGAUGUGAUGACAAGAAGAUGCUAGAGUGUUGUGAGGAAGGAGUCAGGAGCCAAGGAAUCCAGGCGGUCUCUAGAAGCUGGAAAAGGCAAGGAAACAGACUCUCCCCUCAAGCCUCUUGAAGGAAUGCAGACCUCUCCACACCUUGAUUUUAAACUUAGCUCUAGAACUGUAAGAUGAUACAUUUGUGUUGUUUUAAGCUAUUACAUGUAUUGCAACUUGUUACAGCAACAAUGGGGAACUAAUACAUACACGUAGUCAGAAAGCGGUAGAGUUAGCAUGUGGUCCUGUGCCAUCUGGCUCCAGAGCCUAAACUCAACCACGAUACUAUAUAGUACUGCCUGUAGCAGUGUCUCCUGGAAUAGGGUUCCACCGAGCAACUCUGUGCGGUCCUCUAUCCUAGGAACUCGGAAUCAGAGGAGCCUCCAAGAUAUGAAUGGUGGGCCAUGAGCUAGACCUCAACAAGGGCAAGUGGGCAUGGGAGGAAGCAGAGCAGAGAGACCAUUCUGGGUGCAGGAGACUGAGACUGUGCCUGAAGUCCCAGGAGCAGCGUACAGGAUAGCACAGGUGGGUGACAUGGGGGCUGCAGGAGGCGGGGUGGGGAAUCAGGUCAAAUCCAGCUCAGGCUGAGCCUGCUGGGCCCUGGAGCCCCAAGUAUGUGGGGAGCAGGACAGUUGGCAGGGCCUAGCCUCAGGGAAGAUGCUGAGGAGGAGCAGGUUCCUAAUCCUUCUGGUCUCACCAUUCAGUGCUUAUUUUCCUUUUCUUUUUUCUUUUCUUUCUUUUCUUCUCUCUCUCCUUCCUUCCUUCCUUCUUCCUUUUUCCUUCCUUCUUCUUUCUUCCUUCUUUCCUUCCUUCCUUCUUCUUGCUUCUUUCUUUCCUUCCUUCCUUUUUGUAUUUUUUGUAGACAGGGUUUCCCCAUGUUGCCCAGGCUGAUCUCCAACUCCUGGGCUUGAAUGAUCCACCCACCUUGGGCUCCCAAAGUGCUGGGACUGCAGGUGUGAGCCACCCCACACGGCCUCAACGCUCAUUUUCACCCAAAUAGGACUCAAUGGAGUUUGGCUCUGGUGUCCCUGCCCUAAGCCUUGAGAUAAUCAGUUUCCUGGGCCCCCAUUCCAGACUGAAUGUCAUUCAUUCAUUUGUCCACUUAUUUACCCAUUUAUUCAUCACACAUUUACUGAGCCCUUACUAUUAGAUGCUGGGCUAGGUGUAGCUGAGACAGCAAUGACCAAUGUCCCAGCCUGCAGGGAGUUCAUGGCCAGCCAGAGUGGCAUGCAAGUCAGAGCUGGAUGGGGCAUGGUGGACCUUCCGGUCUAGGGGAUUCAAGUGGGUGCUCCACAGGCCUCACGCAGCCAACUGACACAUUUUUGUUUGACCUGAACAUUUGUUACUACUUUUCUUAUUUAUUUAUCAACUUGUACAGAUGGGAAGAUUUCCUAUAAACACCUGGAUUUUUAGUUUGUGUUGAAAAACAAUCAGGUCUGGCAAAUCAGGCUCAUAUUUCCAUACAGCCAGGAUCAGAACUGAAUAGCUGUUUCCUCAGGUUCACAAUCACCCCUUUCCUGGUCCCUGUGUCCCCCUAGCCCAGAGGACAAGUGUCAGGAGCCACUUAUGAUGAUUGUGUCACUGUCUGUCUGAUAGAAGUGGGAAGAAGACAGUGGAAUAUGACUCAUCCUCUUGUUUCCCUCAAAAGAGAGACAACAAAAAAGCUAAAACGAGAGAGUCGUGCAUUUUAAUAAAAUUUGAAUGCUUAACCCAUUUCAUUUGUUUAUAUUAUCUGUGGUAGCAAUCAGGGUAUGCUGGGUUAUGCUAAACAAACCAUCCCCAAAUCUCAGUGGCUUAAAAAGCAAAGAUUUGGCCAGGCGCUGUGGCUCACACCUAUAAUCCCAGCAUUUGGGGAAGUCAAGGCAGGGGAAUCAUUUGAGGCAACAUAGCAAGUCCGCAUCUCUACCAAAAUUUAAAAAUUAGCCGGGUGUGGGGGCAAGUACCUGUAGUCCCAGCUACUCAGGAGGCUAAGGAGGGAGAAUCACUUGGGCCCAGGAGUUUGAGGCUGCACUGAGCUAUACCGUGCCACUGCACUUCAGCCUGGGCAACAGAGCAAGACCCUGUCUCAAAAAAAAAAAAAAAAAAAGGUUUAUUUCUCACUCAUUCUACAAUUCCACUAUAGUCCAUUGAAGCUUGGCCAGGAGCCAGUUCUGAGUCUCCUCACUCUGGGACCCAGACUAUUGGAGCAGCCGGUAUCUUAAAUAUGGUGGAGGGAAAAGGAGCUCUGAGGGUUUCCCACCAGCAAUUAAUUGCCCCAGCACAGAAGUGGCACAGGUCGCUUCUGCUGACAACUCAAUUGGCCAGAACCAGUAACAGGCCCCGCCCAGUGACAGAGCCCAGGAAGUGCAAUCCUACUAUGUGUCCAGGAGGGAGCGAGCUGCAGCCAUUUGGCGAAGAGCAUCCGUGACUUCCGCAAUUGCCUGGUGGGCAUCCACAUUUGAGCUUGUACGCACUGCUCUAGUUUUUUUCAUUCAUUUAAUAGAUGGGAAGAUUGAGGCCUGGAGGGGGAAGAGACUCAAAGAUAAUCCUCCAGGCCCUAUGCUAAACAUUUCCCGUGUGUUGUAAAUUUUGCAGUGGGUAUGUGGCUGGACCCUGACGUCACAUCUGGGAGGGAAGCCUGGCUCUGCACUUGCCAGAUUGUAGCCCCGGGUAUGCUACAGAGCUUCCCCACGCUCAUGGGAUAACACUGACACCUGCCUCGGAAGGUUAUUUUGAGGGCUAAAUGAGAUGAUGCGUUCAAUGUCCUCAGCACUGUUAAGACUUUCGUGCAUGUCAGCUACUCCAAAACCCAGAACAUUUUGCAGAUGAAACUACUGAGGUUCAGAGAAGUUAUGUAAUGUGCCGAAGUUCACACAGCAAAACUGGGUUUCAAGUCCAGGUCUUCUGACUCCCAGGCAAGAUCACAACUCUAUGCUUAGCUUCCUUUCCUUCCUUGGAAACCCCCAUCUUCACAGACUAUUCCCAGCAUCCAUGGCCUUUGUGAUCUCUCCAACACCAAUACUGGCCUGGCAUGAGUCCUGGAAAACAUUGCAUGGUACUCUGGUGAGUUCAGUGGUCAGAUGAAUAUCCACCUGCCUGCUGUUGGCAUCUGGGGCAGAGGGGAGAGCUCCAUGCUGGGACUGAGAACUCACCAGUGUUUCUUGUAUGGGCUUGCUCUUCACACAUCACUUUGCCCUGGGCCAUGGUCUCUUUUCCUGCAUAAUGGGGAAGUUAAAAAUUCUCCAGGGGCCCUCCCAGCUAUAAGACACUCUCAAUGAUUGUACUUCCUUCCUUCCUUGAAGCACCAUGAGAACCUACUUAGAUAACAGAUGUGGAGGUACCUUGAAAAUUCAAGAACUCACUAUUGCACAGUAGCUAAGACCACAGGCUUUGGAAGCCAACAAUCCAAGGGUUUAAAUAUCAGUCCAGCUCUUCCUUGUUGAACUUGGGCAUAAUGGACUGAAUGUUUGUGUCUAUGUGAUGGUAUUUGGAGGUGGGCCUUCAGAAGGUGAUUAGGUCAUGAGGAUAGUGCCCUCAUGAAUGGGACCCCCCAAGAGCUCUUUCACCCUCUUUCUGCCACAUGAGAAUAUGGUGAGUAUCCAACCCAGAAGGGAGCUCUCACCCGAGCUUGACCAUGCUGGCACCCUGACCUCGGACUUCCAGUCUCCGAAACAGUGAUAAACACAUUUCUGUUGUUGAAGCCACCCAGUCUAUGGUACUUUGUUACAGCAGUCCGAAAUAAGAGAACAGGAGACUUUCUUAAGCUCCCUUGUUUCCCCACAUGUCAAAAGAGUAUGAAAAAUGUACCUAACCCAUAUUGUUGUGAAUAUUAAGCCAGUUAUUGUAGGGAAAGUGCUUAAAGCUAUGCCUGGCGCCCAGAAGUGCUCAAUAAAUAUUAGCUGUGUGCCAGAAGCCACUGUUAUUAUCAAAGCCUC